CAACGUUCCAUUGAGCCGAGCGCGUGCUCGGGCGAGCACAUGGGCAGCGGGGCCCGCGCCGCUCCGCGCCCGCCACUCCGCUCCGCUCCGCUCCGCGCCCGGCCCCGGCCGCGGCCCGCCCGACCCCUGCCGCAGCGGGGCCGCGGUGCCCAGUCCAUGUGUCCCACUUGUCUGGAAGAACGUUUGGAGUCUGGCAGUCUGGUUGUUUUCGUAGCUCCAGAGGAUUUUUAGGAGCAUGGGGAGCAUGGGAUGCAUCAACCUGUGGACCACAAAACCCUCUGGAGAAUGUUGGCUGUGGAUAAAAGCAUCUGGAAGUUUCUACCAUCUUUUUACCCUGUUUUUUCCCGGGUUACCCUGUGUCAUUUGUGGCCCUGUCCUGAGGAUUAUGGCAAACAGUCACUUACUGGAAUUCCUCCUCAUGUAUCUUCUUGAAAUGGAGCCACUGCUUUACCCAGCUGGAAGAUAUUUUCUCCCAGAGCUCUUCCAGUGCAGCAGCAGCACUCCUGUCCAGCAGCAUCCCGGGUCUUUUUGUACCAGGAUGAUUGGUGUGCCCUGUCCUUGUUGUCAACUGCUUUGCCAGGAAGAUUAAUGGCAGACGAGAAAAUGUGAGGUGUAUCCAGUGUUUGGAUGGUGAAACUCAAUGAGCUGCAGUUUGGCUUGGAUUACAGUAUUUCAGAAGACUUUCUGAACUUGCCAGGCAACCCUUCCCCUAGACUUUGGGGACAGAGAAGCUUAAAUUUAUAUUUCCAGUGUCACACAAGGAGAUAGAAUGCUUUACAAUGCUGUGUUGCUCUUUGGAAGGAGUACUCAAAAGGAGAAAAGCCUUGCAUAUACAUCUUGGUUUAGAGACAGAUUUUACCUGGGAGUAGUGUGGAUACUAGAAGAAGAGGAGGUGAUGAUACAAGCCAGCUUCCUGACCUCCAGAGUGGGACUGAAGCUUUUUAACAAGAUUUAUCUGGAAAGUAUGACUGACAGGAGCAGCUUACUCACCAUUAGAUAAGUAUUGCAGAUGACUCAUGCUGGAGUAUUGAUAGCUGCUGCUGAGAUGGAUGUCCUGUUUUAUAACAGCUGUAGUGUGAUGCCAAGAGCCAGGAACCUUAAUUUCACUAUCCAUGCUUUUCCAUGAGUGUGCUUUGGGUCUCUGGCACCUUUUCUCCUUGGUUUGUCCAUCUAAAGGGUUCACAGGGAGGGGAGGUUUUGCUUCCCUCAGUGGGGUGCAGGGUAUGGGGCAGCUCAUGCCACCUUGAAAUGAAAGCUAGUGUUGAAAGGCUGCAGCUUUUAUAGCUGUUCUCCAGGACAUGCAAUAUUUGUCUUUUUAAUAGAUGCCAUUAGUGACUUUCCUCGAUUCUUUGCGGUUUUUUUUGUUUUGUUUGUGUUUUUUCAGAGCCAUUAUACCCCUUCUUCAGCAGAACUAACCAGAAGGUGUAGAAACAGAUUUUCUAAGUAUGGAAGCUCUCCUGAGGAGCUGCAUUAUUCGCUGCUGCCCCUGGGAUGGGACACAGAGCAAGGAGUGAAGAAGAGCUGCGAUGUGCCACUGCUUUUGUGAGGAGAGGGGCUUUCUGGCACGUCAUAUGGUGCCAAAAGACAUUCUACUCUUGGCAGCAAAAAUCCUUAUCCUUCUUGGUUUUUUUUUUUCCAGGACAGAUGCUAUUUCCUGUUAGAGAUGCUUUGUAUGCAAAUCAAGGUGGUACAACAAGAAAAAAGUCCUGAAAGCAAUCACACCGAUAAACUCAGCCCACUGGGGAAUUCCUACUUAUCAUUUAUCUUUUGUUUUUUCAGUUCUGUACAAGAUACUUCUUUGCCUGUGCUUUCUUACAGUCUUUAAUGUUUGUCCUGCCAGACCUCUUGCUUAUGAACUAUAGUGCUUGUGCUGGGCUCCAUGCAUUUUGCAGGGCUGCACAAAUAAAAGGCAGUAAGUGCUGGAAAUUGGGGUUAACAGUCCCUGUGUUUCAGCUUGAUCUUGCAUUGAUCUGGUGCUUUCUUAAAUUCAAGGAAGACAUGAGUCUCACACAACAGAUUGCCACAUGACUAUAGUGAUGAUCUACUGGAAAGGUGAUCCCAAAAACCUCAGGAAUGAAAAAAAAGAGAGAGAUAAAAAGCAAAAAGAAGACAGCAAAAAGUUUACCUAGUAACUUAAAACAGGAGCAGUAUUUGACUUGAGGCACCUCAAGAGAUGGUGUGGGCAGCACUGCACUAAUGCAGUAACACGAGUUGGUCACCUCAUUGGUCCAGCAGAGCAAACUCACAUACAAUCACAGAUUGGUUUGGGUGGGAAGGGACUGUAAAAAUCGUCUAGUUGAACUCCUGUGCCAUGGGCAGGGAGAUCUUCUAUCAGACCGGGUUGCUCAGGGACCCUUCCAACCUGGCCUUCAACACUUCCAGGGGUUGGGCAUCCACAACUUCCCUGGGCAUCUUGUGCCCUACAGGUGUCCCUAUAAGUGGAAGGGGCUGAUCAAAACCUGCAAAACCAGGCUGCCACCCUGCUGAUGUUACAACAGGCUGUGAGGGUGAAAAAAAGGCUCAGAAACAGAAAAGGAUGUGUCAGAGAGCUGCAGAACGGCAUUGCCAAAGAACAUUCUUGUGCGUGUCCAGAGAUAGCCACUGCAGCCCAGGUCCUGUUGAAUCAUGCUGUGGUUGUUCUGGCCUUUGUGUGGGUGACAGUGAUAAUCAUUGUGUGUGGUGUUGGGUUUUUAUUAUUUCUUUUUUUUUCCCUUAAAUGUAAAAUUAACAGUCAAAUUAGCAUUGGUGAGGCAGCAAGCCUGGUGCAGCUUUUAUCUAUCCUGAACCUCAGAACAAAGGAGGGGAGGAAAAUGGCUUGGCCAGUUUGGCAGCCGUGCACGUAACGGUCCCAGAGUUCAAAGCAAAGGGCACAACAGUCAGAUACCCCAGCCCUCCUGGGCUUUGGCUGAUAAGUCACAUUUCAAAGUAAAAGGCAAUCCUACAGGGGCUCUGCCGAGUGCCUAAAGCUCCAGUGCUGAGUCUUCUUUAAAAGGGGAUUUCAUAAGGAGUAAUAUGAACAGAAAUGGCUCUUUUGUGGUUUUGCACAUUCCAGGCAUGCCAGGACUGUUCCUGUCAAGGAUGGGCAAUCUCUGGGGUUUUAGGUUCUUUUUAUUUUUUUUUCCCCAAAUAUUUGCCACAAGCUAGCAGCUGAAAUGGUGAAAAAUAAAUAAGAGUUGCAAAAUCAUUACAGUAGCAGUAAUGGAAACUGUGAGGCUUAUACUUAAAUUGGCUGGUGGGUUUCACUCCAUCUUCUGCACUGUUGCACUGUGAGGAUUAGUACUUUUACCUGCUCUGACUACUUCAGGGUGGAUGAUUUGAAAGCAGAGCUUUAACUGCUUGUUACCCAGGACCUCAAAAAACAGUGCUUUUGGCUUUUUCAGAAGCAAUACCUUUUCAGGUAAACCACUGUUAAGUCUGAAUUCUUUCAAUGUCCAUGCAAUUAUGUGACCAUACAGCAUCUUUAUGUGAUGAUUUCUGCAGGUCUGUGUGUACAGAAAUGGGGCCCAGCUGUGCCUGCUUCAGCUGCACUUUUGUUUCACAGAGGUUGUACAGGCUUGGAUUGUACCCAUUAACACAGAAUUUUAAUUGAUGUAAGAGUUUCAAUGCACAAAGUUGUGGUGCCUGAAAUCUUAAAGGAGAGCACCUUUGCUCUGCCUUAAAACAGUCUGAAGUUUCAUGUGCAGUAAAACACUAGAAGGUUUGUGUAGACCUGCCCUUUAGAUGAGGGUAUAAUUCAUAAGCCUGCUUGUCCUGUUCUUCCCCACAUGGCUCCUGCUCCUGUUGCCUUGACCUGUGUCUGGUGUAGUAGCAGGACCUCAUGCACAGCUGGGAAAGCCAGGGCCGAGAUGUUACUGCUGUCUGCUCACGAAUGUAUGGCUGUAUCAAUGUGCCACUAAGUGUGUGCCUCAGCCCCCCUACACAAACACUCAGUACCUUUAUUAGCAGCACACUGACCACAGCCAGCUCAGCACCUUCAUGAGCUGGAACUGCACCUUUACCUGCUGUCCAGGUGAGACUAAUCUUUCUAUGGAAGGAGUAGAAAAUGGAGCCAGGCUCAUCCCAGCAGAGUCUGAACCACAUAGAGACCAUCCUGAGAAUUUGUUUUCAGCCCAAGUUUGACUGGGGCACAAAUGCAGACAGAGAGUGAGAAAGCAUCUCUUUGGAAGUGGCAAUAAAAGAGACACUGUUGGAAUGAACUUUCUGGCCUGGUUUUAUUAAAUGUGAAUAUGGUUACUUAGUGGUGAGCAGGAACUGGAGUGAAUUUAGGGGAUGGUUCCUGAAGCCCCCUCCCAUUCUCCAACACCAAGCUGAUGUUACAGGGAAGUCUCAAGGCUGUUGCCUGGGCUGUUUUGGGUCUGUGGGUGGAGGAACUUAAUCACCAGGGUUGCCAUCAAAUGCUGCACUUACAAGAUUCAAGGAAGAAGUGCUUGUGUUAAUUCUGUGCUCAACAUACAUAUUUUUCAUCUUAGACAAGUCUGGUCUUCCAGCCUUCUGGACUCCUGCCAUUUUGGGUUUGGGAAAAAAAAAAAUUUUUCUUUCUCCAUCAGUGUUACCAACCACAGAAUUUUGGAAACAAAAAGUCAGAAUGGGGUGUUCAGUGGUGAGCUGUCUUUUUACUAGGCUGAUCCUUCAGGAGUUGUUUUUGAAGUGGAUUUUGUUCUGUCCACUCAAGGUCUCUGCUGUGGAAAUAUUUAUUGCUGGGAAACUGUAGCAAGCUUUAUAAGUGGCAGGAAAAACUACUUUUGUAACCAAAUAAGUGUGCUUUCCCUACAAGUCACACAGGUGUACAUUUGGAAUUUUUUUGUUUUGUUUUGUACCAAAACAGUUUUUCCACUUUGUUAUCUGGAGUGGGAAAAUGAGUGGACCUUGCACUUUAUUAUAGAUUCCAUCCAUUUAAUCACAGCAGAAGUGUACAUAGAGAUUCUCUCUUUUUUUUUUUUCUUUUUCUGUGUAUUUACUUAGUGUUUUGUGCCUUAGAAUCUCUGUUUUCCUUCUUUUUGAUGGUUUGAGAGUUUUGAUAGAGACAGCAAAAGUGCUUAGAAGUAUUAAUGUCCCUGGGAAGGCUACAAAAGUUAUGCAGUGGUGAAGAGAUGCAACCUGUAGAAGAGCCAGAAUUUGACAGCAUGGGAAGUGGUUAGCGCCUCAUUGGACAUCCUCACAUCAAAGCUGGACAGUGGGCUCUUGAGAUACUCUGUUUGAACCACAAAUUGCUGGGCUUUGGGCAGAAAUCACUGUGUGAAAUUCUGUGGUCUUUAUUAGGCAGGCGGACAGACAAAAUAAUUUUGCUGGUUUCUCUUGGCUCUUAGAAUUUAUGAAUCACAUAGUCAGGGUGUUCUGGGGGGGGACUUGAGUUUCCAUGAAAAGUUUGCUGUGGCAGCAUGCAGAAAACAAAACCCAUCUGUUCUCUUGUCCUUUCAUCAUGCUGUGUUGCUUUCGAAUUGUUCCAGAAGGAGGAUGAAAUUGGGCUUGUUAUUUAAAUUUCAGUAUGGGUGGCCAAAGCAACUCUGCCUUGGUUAUUAUGGGCCUCCUGUGACCACAGGAAUGGAUGGUGCCUUAUGCCAGUUCCUGAUUUAACAAACACCUGAGGACCGACUCAGCACUGCAGCAUAGCCCAUGGGAAUUGUGUGCCAUGGGAUCCUGCAGCAAGGCAGUGUCUGGGAAUAUCUCCUCACACUCUUUAGUAGUAAGGAUAUAAUCAGCCCUUGUAGGCUGGUAUCUAAUUAAAUAACACAGUGUGGAAAAAAAAAACAAAACACACUCAUUUAUGGCAGUUGAAUGUGUGUAGUUGGAGCAGAGGAUUCAGGUUCUGUCUGGAGUUGCGUGAGCCCAUCUGGGGAGCAGUGUCAGGGAGAGAGUCCAUGAGAUCCUCGUGUGUGAUCACAUGAGAGUGAGCUCGUGAUGGAGCUGUGAGACAGAAAGGAACCCUGCAACUCUGGAGAGCAAGUAGGAGCAGCGAUGUGACUCCUGGCUUUGUCCUUUUAAAGGGUGACACGCUGCCUGGUGUCUGUACUUGAAGAAGGGAGGGGAAGUGCCAAGAAGAAUUAAUGGAAAGCCACAGAUUACUUGGGUUUGCUUUGACUCUAGGCAUGAGGAGUGCAAUUUAGUUAAUUGGGAUGAAGGCUGGCAAGGGGGUGACUUGACUGCCACAUCUAGAGGAAGAAAGGUUUGAUCAGCAGGUUUGGGGUAAGGAGGAACCCUUAAAAUUUCUAUGUCCUUUUCCAGAUUUUAGAGGAUAUCUCUCUAGAACUGAAUGUUCAGUUUAAAAUAUUGGGCUUAUUAUGUAGAGGUCUUGGGUGAAAGGGACUGAUACGCAGUGUAGUGAAGUCAGGAUGGAUUAUUUGGGUCUUUCUGCCUUUAUGCUCAGAGCUCUGGUACUCCCCAGCACCUUCUUCCCUCCAAGAAGGGGGAAGCACCUUCUUCUACCCCUCCCUGGGAUAGGGAGGUUCUGCCACAACACUGGGCAUAGCGUAAACUGUCAGGACAAAAUGCUUUGGAGCCAUCUCAUCUUAAGACAGGUGUCUAAGAUAACUGGCUUUCCCUCUGGUAGUGGCUGUUGUCCUGCAGCAGCUUUGUGGAAGACCAGAAAUCUGGCUGAGAUUGGGACUCCUGUGCUUUGGAUGUCUGAAGCUGUGUGAGGUGAACACCCCUCUCACUGCCUGUGUGCAUGAUGAGGAGUUAGUGGAAUAAAGAACCCAACAAAGAACCGUCUGACACUACCUGAGAUGAAAAUAAUAUGGAAAAUUUAAUCAGCUCUCUGCAGCUGAGCAGUCCCUGGAGGUGCUGUACCAAACCUGACCCACUUGCUGAACCCCAGCAGUGCAGCACUGGGCACUCCUCUGCCUGCCUUCAGAAGAAUGAAAGGACAGCAGUAUGAAAAGAGACAAGUCCAGGGGACAGCAAUCAAUGUAAGUCUUUCUAAGAAACAACUGGGUUUUUUUUUGGUUUUUUUUUUUUGUUUUUGUUUUUUUUUGUUUGGUUUUUUUUUUAUUAAAAGCAAACCCACCUUCUGCAUCAUUUCUCUUUCUGAGGAGCUCAGAAAGGAGGGAAGUGUUGGAAGAGGUUUGUUUUCAACCUGACUGAAUGUUUUCCCAGUUCUUCCCCUGCACUCCAGCUCAUCCCAUCCCAGUCUUUUCAGCCAUGCUAUGUUGGGAAGCAGCUGUGAGCUCAUCCUCAGGGCUGAGUUCUAGCGUGGUAACUGUCCUAGGGUAGACUGCAGGGAUGGAGGGAGGGCUCUUGCCACUGGCAAGGAGCAGCAUGACUCUUUUGCCAGUUGUCCCAGUUUGCUGUCAGGAUGACCUCCCAUGAUGGCUCAUCAUGAGCCCAGCCUCCCAUCUCUAAGCUCCCCAGAGAUGUUACCACUUGGCCAUGGCUUCAAAUUAGGGCAUCUGAGUGGGUAAACUGCAGUGGGUAAAAAUCAAAUCCAAAACUUCUGGACAUAGAGAGGAUGAUAGCAGUGGACUAUCAGUAGCAAACUGUAAUCCACAUUCCCUUUCCAGGUAGAUGUUGCUGAGAAGAUGAUUCCCCUGUGCUCCUCAGAUGAGCACCAAGCUUUCCCCUUCCUGUGUGUGCCCAUCCUGCUGGCUGCAGCCCUUGCUGGACCCUGGGAGCAUGCAAGGCUCUGGCUCUUUGAAUAGCUGUCCAGAACAGUGAGGAAGAACUGCCUCCUCCCUGGACACAAACCACAAUGAUUUGCUGGUGUUAUUUCUUGGUUUUUGUUUUUUUUUUUUUUUGGCUGUCUGAUUACUAAGUACAAACCUCUUUCACCUAUUUGACAUUAAUUCACUAAUGGAUGGCAGAAGGUUUCAUGUUUGGUUUUUAGCUGAAAAAGUGAUGAUGCAAUUGUAAACCUCACAUCCAUUAUGUAUCUUUGAACUAUGUGAAAAGUGUGAAUUUUUACAGAAAAUGUGAGAGUGGUGGGGGUUGUGGAAUAAACUUUUUUGCUUGAAUUUUAUUUUAAGUCUUGAAUGAAUGAGAUGUAUUUCACGGGACUGAGAAAGCUGUGAUUUUUCCCUUUCCUUCAGUGUUGGGCUUUUUUGUUGUUGUUUUUGUUUUUGGGUUUUUUUGGGAGGGUUAUUAUUGUUGUUGUUUAACUUUUUUUGUAAUCAAAGUAUUUACUCCCCAAGUUAAAUGGCUUCUCACAAACAAGUUAAUGUCAAAAGAAAAGUGAGGAUGAGGAGAGGGCAGACAUUGGGUUUUAGCUAUCUCUGUUUUUUUCCUUUUAAGCUUCAGCAAAAUGGCAAUUGUUUCAUUUUGACCCACUUUCAAAUCACAUUAGCAAAUGAAUACAGAAUGGGAAGGACAAUCACGU